UACGGGGGGGGCAAGCGUUGUUCGGAAUUACUGGGCGUAAAGGGCUCGUAGGCGGCCAACUAAGUCAGACGUGAAAUCCCUCGGCUUAACCGGGGAACUGCGUCUGAUACUGGAUGGCUUGAAUCCGGGAGAGGGAUGUGGAAUUCCAGGUGUAGCGGUGAAAUGCGUAGAUAUCUGGAGGAACACCGGUGGCGAAGGCGGCAUCCUGGACCGGCACUGACGCUGAGGAGCGAAAGCCAGGGGAGCAAACGGG
rnacentral:rRNA from 1 species